UGUAACAAGAAUCCCAUUGGGGUUGCAUCCAUUCUGCUGGUUCACAAUUUAUAGUAAUAAAUGAGAUAAUAUGAUAGUUUUUACCCUCUGCUGAAUUGGGACUCUUUCGAUGAAUGAAAUUCUUGACUUAUAUCAUAAUAAUUUAGAAACGGAAGGAACUAAAAUCGGCACCAAACUUGAUCCGACUCAAGGUUUUUUAUUUUUGGGUAAACAAAAUAUUUGUAGCCUCAACGUCGAAUUUUAGGUCGGCUCCAAGAUUUUGGUGAUGAACCCAUGUCUCCUGUCAUUACAACCCUUGCUUAUGUAUUCGUCAUUAACAGUAGCGGAGCCCCGAGAGAGAUACCGACCCCCUCCAAAUAAAAAAGUUCUUUUAGCUUCGCCCUUCGAUUGAUGUCCAUAAUCACUGUAGAAGAGUCAUUACUUUUUUAGUAUCUAGAAUCAAAAUGUAUAGUCAUUAUAAAUUAAUCAAAAGUUCAUAAACAAUGAAAAAUGAUCUUUUCAUACAAAAAUAAAACCCCAAAUUAGAUUAUCCAAAUAAAAGAGAGAACUCAGAGAAAAAACAAAGCUAAACAUAUUUAGGAAGUGUUGGCAUAUAUUCAUCAAUUUAACAAAUCAAAAAUACAAGUUAAAUAAUUUGAGGUGUGUUGUACAUUGUCCUUAAGAAUAC
rnacentral:lncRNA from 1 species